rnacentral:tRNA from 1 species
GCCCCUAUCGUCUAGCCCGGUUAAGGAUGUGAGCCUUUCGAGCUCAAGACCUGGGUUCAAAUCCCAGUAGGGGCA